rnacentral:rRNA from 1 species
GACGAACGCUGGCGGCGUGCUUAACACAUGCAAGUCGAACGGAAAGGCCCUGCUUUUGUGGGGUGCUCGAGUGGCGAACGGGUGAGUAACACGUGAGUAACCUGCCCUUGACUUUGGGAUAACUUCAGGAAACUGGGGCUAAUACCGGAUAGGAGCUCCUGCGGCAUGGUGGGGGUUGGAAAGUUUCGGCGGUUGGGGAUGGACUCGCGGCUUAUCAGCUUGUUGGUGGGGUAGUGGCUUACCAAGGCUUUGACGGGUAGCCGGCCUGAGAGGGUGGCCGGCCACAUUGGGACUGAGAUACGGACCAGACUCCUACGGGAGGCAGCAGUGGGGAAUAUUGCACAAUGGGCGGAAGCCUGAUGCAGCAACCCCGCGUGCGGGAUGACGGCCUUCGGGUUGUAAACCGCUUUCGCCUGUGACGAAGCGUGAGUGACGGUAAUGGGUAAAGAAGCACCGGCUAACUACGUG